CAAGCCAUCUUUACCUGGCAAUUUUAAAUCUCCAAAAUGAAACUUUAAUGCUCUACCCCUUUCUCUAUAAAUUGUCAAAUUUAGAUACUGAUCUAGUCGGAACGAAUCAACAAAAUUAUAUAGUUCAAAUUAAAGAUAUGGCUAAGUCUCAAUUUCGGUAUGCUGCAUUUCUUGCUCUCUUCCUGUUCUUCCUCAUUGCAUCAACUGGAUUUGAUUGAAUGCUGGGAAAUAUGGUAUUGGCAGAUCAUCAGGGGAGGCUUACGAUGAUCAAAUAUUUUUCAAUCUCAUGGCUGAAAUUUUAAAGAGUUUGAUCUCCUUUUCACAGCGAAGCAAUGGUGAGGCUGUUAACCAAUUUUUCACGUGGUGUGGUGAGUCCUUAUUGUGGGUUACUGCCUUACUGGUAUGAAAGGAAAGGACGAAGGGGUCAGGCUGUGUAAGGGGUUGCAGCGAUGAUAUCUAAACUUGGGUCUUUAACUACAGUUAGUUUUUGAGUAGGGUAAAAUAAAUAUAACACUGUUUAAAAAUUAAUUGUACAGGUGGCAGCCAUCUAACUGGAGGAAAGAUUAUGGAGGGGAUCUCAACUCCAAAAACGGAACUCCCCUCCCAACAAUUCCCUUUUUUUCAGGUGAUUCACUUCCAUCAGUAGAAGACAGUUGACUAAUAAUAACUGAGGAAGCAUGCUAAAGUCUGCAGGAUCAUCUAAGUAUGUAUGAGAUCAUACAACCUGAAAAGCUGAAGAUGGUUUUGUAUUGCGUUUGAUAGAAAAUUAUGGUAGUAAAGUAGAUAAUUGAUCUUCAAAUGAACAUCCCAGCACUACAAAAGCUAGAUGCAAUGCUUCUGGAAUUCCAUCAUCAAGUAUAUAUGGAUUGGAGAUUCGCUUUUGUGUCGUUAAAAUUUUGAAGUACCUUUUGUCAAUAUAAUAGCGCGAAAUUGUGGUUCCUGCAAUUCCGAUAAGAUACUGCCUUUAAAAUGUACACUUUAAAUUGAAAGGUGAUAUAUUGAUCUUUCCUUCCUGUAAUGUUAUUUCAGUUGAUAUGAUAAGAACACUGUUUGGGUAUUUGUGAUGGGAAGCAUAUGAUUUGAAAUAUUUAAACAAGGAUACUAAUCCUAAUAAAAAUGAAGUUGAUGUUGAAGGAAAUGAAGAAAGGCGAGAUACCAAAACAGGUACAUGCUAAGAUAGGAACAGAGAGUCAGCAGAGAAA